UUCUCAUUCCCACCUCACGUUCUCUCUCUUUUGUCUUUCACAUCAUCUCUCUUCUCAUUCCCACCUCACGUUCUCUCUCUUUUGUCUUUCUACUCCUUCCUUUGAGUAAUCACUCUCUCCUAAUUAAGUUUAGUUAAUUGUUUUGGUGUAAUUGUUGUUGUUAAUGGAAUGAUUUAGGUCUGAUGGAGGGGAAGGGAUGGUUAAGAAGCUUAGGAUGUCCAAAGCCCUCACUAUAUCUAAGGAGACAUCAGUUUCAGAUGCGUGUCGGCGAAUCGCAACGCCGUGCGUUGAUGCUGUUUUGCUGCCUGAUUCAAAUGCUUUGUUAUCGGGAAUUAUGACUGCCAAGGGUUGUUCUAGAAAGGCUUGUACUAGGUAAAGUCAUCAGGGAGUGAUCACACUUUGUAUUAGGUAAAGCUCUCUCGCCUUUGUUUGAGUUCAUUGUUUGAAAUAUUUGAAAAAUCAAUGAAACUUCCGGUGACUGACUGCAACCUCAUUUAAGGGUUACAAAUUUUCAUUUUGCUAUUCAUGAAGCAAUAGUCUGUUUUGUGAGUCUCGCCGAUUUUUAUGUUUUGUGGCUUCGAUUUUUUUUGAGGAGUAUAACAACUAUAAUGCUGAAAUAGUUUAUAAAGAUGCUUAUUAUAGGUUGAGGGAAGAUUUACUUUUCAAAGAGUUGUGAAUGUGAAAUUGUUUUAUGCUUCCUGUUCUGCUUGUAUUUUUUAAUGGAUGUUAGUCAAAGAACUGACCCUAUUGAUGGUAUUUUUUCAUUUUAAUUUAAUUGAUGUAACAUAUUUACAUGUUUUAUUUUCACUAUCAUGCAAUUGAUUAUACAUUGAAAAUCAUUAAACAAAAUUUGAUUGAUAUUAAUGGACACUUGCAGUAUCUUACAGACUUUAAUUUUUGUAUAUUGGCAUCUAAGGAAUAUGAGUUUGUCUGGAACUUCACCAUCUAACUUUACUACUAAUGUUAAUAUUAAUCUUGCUGUUAGAUUCAAAGUGAGUUUCAUAUAUCUCAAUUUGACGGUUCCAUUUGAAGGAGAUGAUUUUAGUGUUGUUUCAGAAGUCUAAUUAUGUAUCUAUUUGAUAUUGGUUAAUUGGUUAAAGUGCUUAGUUUUAUUUUAAAGUAUGGACAACAUUUCAUUAUGUUUAAUUGAAUUGAUAGAUUAUUCUACAAUGGUAUAUGAAUAUUAGUUAUGAUUUUCGUAAAAAACGGUCUGCUAUUACAUGAUAAAUUGGUACUAAAAUAUUUGAAGUUUCUUUAUUGUAAUAGCUCACAUGUUUCUUUAAUUUCUAUGCUGAGGUUUGGACACACAAAUGAGUGACUAGAUUUUAUUUUCCACCUAUGAAUGUUAUUUUUCUUUGAUUGUUCUUCUAGAAAAAUUUUAAUAUAUUUUAUUUGUGAAGUAUUUUAAUAUAUUUUGGUUUAAGAGAAGAAGAGAAAUCUUGUUCCAGACUUGAAUGAUCUUACUGGAGAAGGAAAUAUUGAAAGUAUGCCUUCGAUGGGGUUUUAUAUGGAUUUGUUUCAACAUUUGAAAACUCUUGAUCAACUCUUGUUUCAACUCUUGAUCAACAUUUGAAAACCACCUUGGUUUCUAAAAUACAUAUAAAAAACAUAAGCUUAUCAAUGAGCCUCUAAAGUUGUAAUAUGCUGAAUGAUGUUUAUUGCAGUUUGGAGACGAAGAAGAUUGUGAUGAAGAUAUGGAAGAAGGUUGUGAUCAUGAAGAAGUGGAAGAAGGUUGUGAUCAUGAAGAUGUGGAAGAAGAACAAGGAGAUGAUCAAUAAGAAUAUUAAGAAGUUGUGUUUUAUAUUAUCUAGCUAGCUAGUUCUUAGAACUUUUGUUGUUAUUUUGGGAUGACUCUUUGAGAGAAACUUGUCUUUAAUUUAGCUCUUGUUUUGAAUCCCAUGACUGUUUUGAAUUUGGGAUGACAUCAAAACUUAGUAUCCAACUUAUUAGUGGCACUACAAAAAAAACUUACUUUUGACGUUAAUGUUAAUUUGCUUGUAAUUAAUUAGAUUCUAAUCA